UGGAAAAGCUGCAGCUCGAGAUUCC
rnacentral:piRNA from 1 species